GAUGAGAAGCUUCGACCAAGGUUCGACUCGAGCGCCAGCGAGAGAGCGUUGCCGCAGGCAACGACCCGAAGGGCGAAGCGCGCAGCGCUGAGUAAUCCUUCCCCCACCACCA
rnacentral:sRNA from 1 species